AUUACUUUGGCAGAUUAGUGCCAUGAAUUUAGAAUUCAUAUAUGUAGAUUAUACAAGUAAUA
rnacentral:tRNA from 1 species